rnacentral:tRNA from 1 species
GGUGGUGUAGCUCAGUUGGUUAGAGCGCAUGUCUUAAUAUGCAUGAGGUCGGCGGUUCGAGUCCGCCUAUCACUUCAA